rnacentral:rRNA from 1 species
UAACACGUAGGAAUCUGCCUGGUAAUGGGGGAUAACCCGGGGAAACUCGGGCUAAUACCGCAUACGCUCUACGGAGGAAAGCGGGGGAUCUUCGGACCUCGCGUUAUCAGAUGAGCCUGCGUCCGAUUAGCUAGUUGGCGGGGUAAAGGCCCACCAAGGCGACGAUCGGUAGCUGGUCUGAGAGGACGAUCAGCCACACUGGAACUGAGACACGGUCCAGACUCCUACGGGAGGCAGCAGUGGGGAAUAUUGGACAAUGGGCGCAAGCCUGAUCCAGCAAUGCCGCGUGUGUGAAGAAGGCCUGCGGGUUGUAAAGCACUUUAAGCAGGGAGGAAGGCUCUAAGGCGAAUACCCUUGGAGAUUGACGUUACCUGCAGAAUAAGCACCGGCUAACUCCGUGCCAGCAGCCGCGGUAAUACGGAGGGUGCGAGCGUUAAUCGGAAUUACUGGGCGUAAAGCGCGCGUAGGCGGUUGACUAAGUUUGCUGUGAAAGCCCCGGGCUUAACCUGGGAACUGCAGUGAAUACUGGUGAGCUAGAGUAUGGUAGAGGGUAGUGGAAUUUCCGGUGUAGCAGUGAAAUGCGUAGAGAUCGGAAGGAACACCAGUGGCGAAGGCGGCUAUCUGGACCAAUACUGACGCUGAGGUGCGAAAGCGUGGGGAGCAAACAGGAUUAGAUACCCUGGUAGUCCACGCCCUGAACGAUGAUAACUAGCCGUUGGGCCCUUUUGGGGGUUUAGUGGCGCAGCUAACGCGAUAAGUUAUCCGCCUGGGGAGUACGGCCGCAAGGUUAAAACUCAAAUGAAUUGACGGGGGCCCGCACAAGCGGUGGAGCAUGUGGUUUAAUUCGAUGCAACGCGAAGAACUUACCUGGUCUU